AAAUGACGGUACCUUAGGAGGAAGCCCCGGCUAACUACGUGCCAGCAGCCGCGGUAAUACGUAGGGGGCAAGCGUUAUCCGGAAUCACUGGGCGUAAAGGGUGCGUAGGCGGCUUAGCAAGCCAGGGGUGAAAGGCAUUGGCUCAACCAAUGUAAGCCUUUGGAACUGUUAAGCUUGAGUGCAGGAGAGGGUAAGUGGAAUUCCUAGUGUAGAGGUGAAAUUCGUAGAUAUUAGGAGGAACACCAGUGGCGAAGGCGACUUACCUGGACUGUAACUGACGCUGAUGCACGAAAGCGUGGGUAGCGAACAGGAUUAGAUACCCUGGUAA
rnacentral:rRNA from 1 species